GAAAAUAUGACAUACUUAAGCAGUGAUCACGUGGCUGGCAUUGAUAACGUGGCUGGAAUAUUGUCGGAUGUAACGCAAUUUCUUUCAUUGAGUCAGACAUGGGGGGUGGUAGCUCGACACCAGACGUUGUCUAUAAAGAUCGUGUUGUAUAUAGAGACAGAGAAACUACCCGUCCAACAACCCCACCGUUGAUUAAUCCAUGGCGAAAUAUCAGAGGCGACUGGACGCAUUCAUUCAGUGAAAAAUUAUCAAGUGAGAUACAGAAAAAUGAAACUGGCAGUGUCGAGGUAUAGAACCCGGGUCUGCUUCUUCUAGGACCAAUUAAGGCAGGAAAGUCAACAUUUGUCAACUCAAUUUGUAGUAUAGGCAAGGGAAGGCUUGUUAACAAAGCGUACACUGGGGCUGCAGCGAAGAGUUUCACUACUUCGUUUAAAAGGUUUAGAGGAGCAGGUUUUCUUAGGAACUUUCGUCUAUGCGACACAAUGGGCGUAGAAGAUGGCGAAAAUGAAGGUUUUCAUAUCAGUGACGUAGUGAACCUUAUUGAAGGGCAUGUCAAGGAUACUUACAAAUUCAACCCACGUCAUCCGUAGACCCCUGAAGAUCCGGUCUAUAUCCUCUGCCCGCAGGCAAAGGAGAAGACACAUUGUGUAAUAUUUGUAAUUGAUGCCGUGGUACUAAGUUCAGGAUCAAUAUCGAAUGAUUUGAAGAUAAAACUCAGAUGUCUGAAAGAAGAAAUCAAAGUGCGCAACAUACCAAGAGUUC
rnacentral:lncRNA from 1 species